GUAGGGAGAGAGAGAGAGAGAAGUAGGGAGAGAGAGAGAGAAGUAGGGAGAGAGAGAGAGAAGUAGGGAGAGAGAGAGAGAGAAGUAGGGAGAGAGAGAGAGAGAAGUAGGGAGAGAGAGAGAGAGAAGUAGGGAGAGAGAGAGAGAAGUAGGGAGAGAGAGAGAGAGAAGUAGGGAGAGAGAGAGAGAAGUAGGGAGAGAGAGAGAGAAGUAGGGAGAGACAGAGAGAGAAGUAGGGAGAGACAGAGAGAGAAGUAGGGAGAGAGAGAGAGAGAAGUAGGGAGAGACAGAGAGAGAAGUAGGGAGAGACAGAGAGAGAAGUAGGGAGAGAGAGAGAGAAGUAGGGAGAGAGAGAGAGAGAAGUAGGGAGAGAGAGAGAGAGAAGUAGGGAGAGAGAGAGAGAAGUAGGGAGAGAGAGAAGUAGGGAGAGAGAGAGAGAGAAGUAGGGAGAGAGAGAGAGAAGUAGGGAGAGACAGAGAGAAGUAGGGAGAGAGAGAGAGAAAAGUAGGGAGAGAGAGAGAGAAGUAGGGAGAGAGAGAGAGAGAAGUAGGGAGAGAGAGAGAAGUAGGGAGAGAGAGAGAGAAGUAGGGAGAGAGAGAGAGAGAAGUAGGGAGAGAGAGAGAGAAGUAGGGAGAGACAGAGAGAGAAGUAGGGAGAGAGAGAGAAGUAGGGAGAGAGAGAGAGAGAAGUAGGGAGAGAGAGAGAGA
rnacentral:lncRNA from 1 species